rnacentral:tRNA from 1 species
UCCCUGGUGGCUCAGAUGGUUAAGUGCCUGCCUACAAUGCAGGAGACCUGGGUUCAACCCCUGGGUUGGGAA